GGCCAGUUUUUGUGUAAAAGUACAAAAUUACCCCUCAUUUUAAAAUUUAAAAAAUAGGCCAGUCAUUUUUCUCUCUCUCCUCUCUCUCUCUACGUUUUCUCUCUCUCGCUGUUCUCUCCCUCUCUACGCUCUCUCUCUCUCGUCCUUGCCGCCCGUCCGCCGCGUGGCUCCGCCCACACUCAAUCGCCGCUCGCUCAGCCGCGCAGGAAGGUCCUGCACCGACGUCUUCAGUUGGAGUGGCGUUGCUGUCGAUCGCCGCCAGUUGCGCCGUCGCCGUAGCUUUGUUCGUCUUCGACUCUGCACUCAAGAUCGGCGCCGCACCAUGCUUCGGCGUAAGAAGAAGGCGGCCACCGGGCUCAAAACCCUAGAUCGGCGGUGCCUCUUCUUCUAUUUCUCCGUCGUCUGUCGAUUUUCGCCGCGGAGGGGGAGGCGACCUGCGGCAUGAAAACCGUAGAUCUGAAACUACACCUUUUUCUAGUCCUCUCUCUUCACUCGCUCUCGUCCCCAGCCACCCCCCACGGCUGUGAUGUGUCUGAGCUGUGGGGGGCGCGGCGGCUCACAGCCUGAAAACCCCACGCCAGAUGAAGAUCUGCGCCGCCUCUCUGGUUGUUGUUGCUAUCUUAGAUCAGGUUUUCUCUCCGGCGACGAAACGUACGCCGACGAUGAUCUGAAAUUUGGAAGCAGAGGUUGGUUUGCUGCUGUUGCAGAGCUCGAGAAGGAGAGGUUUAUUUGAUCCCAUUUCAGCCGCCACUUUUGAGAUCUCUUAUUUGUACUUGUGUUUUUCAUUACAAAUCAGAUUAUUUUAAUGCGAACAGGAAAAAAAAAUUAAAGAGAUUUGAUCGAUUGGAAGAUAAACAUAUUUUGG
rnacentral:lncRNA from 1 species